AUGCGAUAAGUAAUGUGAAUUGCAGAAUUCAGUGAAUCAUCGAAUCUUUGAACGCACAUUGCGCCCGCUAGUACUCUAGCGGGCAUGCCUGUUCGAGCGUCAUUUCAACCCUCAAGCCCUGCUUGGUGUUGGGGCCCUACGGCUGCCGUAGGCCCUGAAAGGAAGUGGCGGGCUCGCUACAACUCCGAGCGUAGUAAUUCAUUAUCUCGCUAGGGACGUUGCGGCGCGCUCCUGCCGUUAAAGACCAUCUUUAACUCAAGGUUGACCUCGGAUCAGGUAGGAAUACCCGCUGAACUUAAGCAUAUCAAUAAGCGGAGGAAAAGAAACCAACAGGGAUUGCCCCAGUAACGGCGAGUGAAGCGGCAACAGCUCAAAUUUGAAAUCUGGCUUCGGCCCGAGUUGUAAUUUGUAGAGGAUGCUUUUGGUGAGGUGCCUUCUGAGUUCCCUGGAACGGGACGCCAGAGAGGGUGAGAGCCCCGUAUAGUCGGCCACCGAUCCUCUGUAAAGCUCCUUCGACGAGUCGAGUAGUUUGGGAAUGCUGCUCAAAAUGGGAGGUAUAUCUCUUCUAAAGCUAAAUAUUGGCCAGAGACCGAUAGCGCACAAGUAGAGUGAUCGAAAGAUGAAAAGCACUUUGAAAAGAGGGUUAAAUAGCACGUGAAAUUGUUGAAAGGGAAGCGCUUGUGACCAGACUUGUGCCGGGCUGAUCAUCCAGUGUUCUCACUGGUGCACUCGACCCGGCUCAGGCCAGCGUCGGUUCUCGCGGGGGGAUAAAAGCUUCGGGAACGUGGCACCUCCGGGUGUGUUAUAGCCCGCUGCUUAAUACCUUCGCGGGGACCGAGGU
rnacentral:rRNA from 1 species